UCCCAUUAGAUAGUUGGUGAGGUAACGGCCCACCAAGUCAGCGAUGGGUAGCCGAGCUGAGAGGCUGAUCGGCCACACUGGAACUGAGACACGGUCCAGACUCCUACGGGAGGCAGCAGUAGGGAAUAUUGGGCAAUGGGGGAAACCCUGACCCAGCAACGCCGCGUGAAGGAAGAAGGCCUUCGGGUUGUAAACUUCUGUGACAGGGGAAGAAAGAAAUGACGGUACCCUGAGAGGAAGCCCCGGCUAACUACGUGCCAGCAGCCGCGGUAAUACGUAGGGGGCAAGCGUUGUCCGGAUUUACUGGGCGUAAAGGGCGCGCAGGUGGGCUUGAUAGUUAGAUGUGAAAUACCAGGGCUUAACCCUGGAGCUGCAUCUGAAACUGGCGAGCUAGAGUAUGGCAGAGGUAAGUGGAAUUCCUAGUGUAGCGGUGAAAUGCGUAGAUAUUAGGAGGAACACCAGUGGCGAAGGCGACUUACUGGACUGUAACUGACGCUGAGGCGCGAAAGCGUGGGGAGCAAACAGGAUUAGAUACCCUGGUAGUCCACGCCGUAAACGAUGAGUGCUAGGUGUCGGGGGUAUCGACCCCCUCGGUGCCACAGCUAACGCAAUAAGCACUCCGCCUGGGGAGUACGGUCGCAAGACUGAAACUCAAAGGAAUUGACGGGGGCCCGCACAAGCGGUGGAGCAUGUGGUUUAAUUCGACGCAACGCGAAGAACCUUACCAGGUCUUGACAUCCCGGGAAUCUUGUGGAAACACGAGAGUGCCUCGCAAGAGGAGCCUGGUGACAGGUGCUGCAUGGCUGCCGUCAGCUCGUGUCGUGAUUGGGUUAAGUCCCGCAACGAGCGCAACCCUUAUUUUCAGUUACUAACGCGUGAUGGCGAGGACUCUGAAGAGACUGCCGAGGAUAACUCGGAGGAAGGUGGGGAUGACGUCAAAUCAUCAUGCCCCUUAUGAUCUGGGCUACACACGUGCUACAAUGGCGAUAACAAAGGGCNNNNNNNNNNNNNNNNNNNNNNNNNNNNUAAAGCCGGUCUCAGUUCGGAUCGUGGGCUGCAACCCGCCCACGUGAAGCCGGAGUUGCUAGUAAUCGCGAAUCAGCAUGUCGCGGUGAAUGCGUUCCCGG
rnacentral:rRNA from 1 species